CUACGGAGGGUGCAAGCGUUACUCGGAAUCACUGGGCGUAAAGCGCGCGCAGGCGGCCUGAUAAGUUGGAUGUGAAAGCCUACGGCUCAACCGUAGAACUGCAUCCAAAACUGUCAGGCUAGAGUGUGGGAGAGGAAGAUGGAAUUAGUUGUGUAGGGGUAAAAUCCGUAGAGAUAACUAGGAAUACCAAAAGCGAAGGCAAUCUGCUGGAACACUACUGACGCUGAGGCGCGAAGGCGUGGGGAGCAAACAGGAUUAGAAACCCUAGUAGUCC
rnacentral:rRNA from 1 species